rnacentral:rRNA from 1 species
GUAUAAGAGACAGCAGUAGCCGCGGUAAUACAGAGGGUGCGAGCGUUAAUCGGAUUUACUGGGCGUAAAGCGUGCGUAGGCGGCUUCUUAAGUCGGAUGUGAAAUCCCUGAGCUUAACUUAGGAAUUGCAUUCGAUACUGGGAAGCUAGAGUAUGGGAGAGGAUGGUAGAAUUCCAGGUGUAGCGGUGAAAUGCGUAGAGAUCUGGAGGAAUACCGAUGGCGAAGGCAGCCAUCUGGCCUAAUACUGACGCUGAGGUACGAAAGCAUGGGGAGCAAACAGGAUUAGAUACCCCGGUAGUCCCUGUCUCUUAUAC